CUUUCCCACUCCACCUGAGCCACCUACGCCUCUUUGGGGGACCCUUGUGCCAAGAAACCUACCUUAAUCCAGAUCAAGUGAAUGAAGCCUGGGAUUCUGGAUCUCAAGGGUUCCCCCAAAGCCUCUGUCUUCCUUCUGUAGCUGAGCUGCUUCAGCCUCUGUGGGACACCCAUUUGAAGGAACCUGUCUAAAUCCAUGUAAGCUGAGACUCUUCCUCCUCUGCCAGACACCUGUUCCAAGGAAGCUCCUGCAACAAGGUAAGAUGAAUCAAGCCUGGGUGGCCCUUGGCUUCUAUCUGGAUCCCAGGGCUUAAGGGUGCUGAUUGAUUCAGAGCUGGCUGAAGUGAUUACAGAGCUGGGUCUUUGAUUUCAGGGUGUGGGCUUGUGUCGUGAAGGUUGAGUAUCCAGGGUGACAGUGAAGAAUCCUA
rnacentral:lncRNA from 9 species